rnacentral:rRNA from 1 species
UACGGAGGGAGCUAGCGUUGUUCGGAUAUACUGGGCGUAAAGCGCACGUAGGCGGCGCCGUAAGUCAGGGGUGAAAUCCCGGAGCUCAACUCCGGAACUGCCUUUGAAACUGCGGUGCUAGAAUCCUGGAGAGGCGAGUGGAAUUCCGAGUGUAGAGGUGAAAUUCGUAGAUAUUCGGAAGAACACCAGUGGCGAAGGCGGCCCACUGGACGUGUAUUGACGCUGAGGUGCGAAAGCGUGGGGGGCAAACAGG